rnacentral:rRNA from 1 species
CAGCGGCCCUAGUGGUGAUCGUUAUUAUUGGGCCUAAAGCGUCCGUAGCCGGUUCGGUAAAUCUCUGGGUAAAUCGUUGGGCUUAACUCAACGAAUUCUGGGGAGACUGCCGAACUUGGGACCGGGAGAGGUCGGAGGUACUCCAGGGGUAGGGGUGAAAUCCUGUAAUCCUUGGGGGACCACCGGUGGCGAAAGCGUCCGACCAGAACGGGUCCGACGGUAAGGGACGAAGCCCUGGGGCGCGAACCGGAUUAGAUACCCGCGUAGUCC